rnacentral:sRNA from 1 species
UUUGAAUUUGGCUCCAUAAAGGUCUGAGGCUCCAAUGGCCUGGUUCAUUGUUGAAGUCUCUUUUCUUGAUCGUGUCCGCUAUUACUGAAUUAUCAGUUAAAAAACUAGUGCCUGCAAAGUUGAAGAAUUUGGCAAUCUCCAUAGCUAGUUGCAGUGCCACCAGUUCUGCCUGCAAAGAAUAUUGAGCUACCUCGCUUUUGGCUUUAAUAAAAGAGAUUUGCUGAAGUAUGUCAAACGGUACUAAAUCAUUUUCGAUCGUUGGAUCUAGCUAGGCAGGGUAUUAGACCAGAGCAAAUCUCUUAAUAAAAAGAGCAUUGUGUGUCAUCGGCAUGUGGAAGAAAAUACCAAUCCCUAUGAAAGUGUUCUCCCAAGCUGCAUCUAUAUAACAUCUAUUGCCCUCCGAAAUGGUUUCCAUUCUUCUUUUGUUUUCCUCCUCCUGAGAUUCCACCUGCAAAUUAUGAUUUGUAGAGUAUAUGUAUUUAUCAUAGCUUCUGCCGCAAAACACAAAACACACUUGGGUCGGCUCCUUUAAGAUGCCCUGAAAUUUCAGAUCAUUUCUGGCCUUCCAAAGCUACCACAAGAUAAUGAAAAGAUUUAUGGAUAUCAAUUUUAUUAGUACUAUUUUUUUUAGAUAAAGGAUUAUAAAUUAACCCGGCCUCUACACCUUUUAGGAGGUGACCAUUUGAGGAAAUGUAAGCAAUGAUGUGAGCCAGAGAAACAUUAUCAGGGAAAAUGUCAGUAGAAAGAUUUGCUUCAGAAAUUCUCCACGUUAUUCUGCUAAAGGAACAACGAAAGAAAAGAUGGAAAUAUGUUUCAGGUUGAUUGCACCUACAGCAAUUAGCUGAAAUAUCAGAAAUUCUGUGAUUUAACUUUUGCGCUGAAUGCAGAACUUUCUCCGAGCAGUCUCCAAGCAAAAACUUUAACCGUGGGAGGAGUAAGCUUGUCCUUCCAGAUGAUUUUGAUGAUAGAAGUCACCAGGGGAUUUACCUGUUGAAAGUUAUGAAUCUGAUCACUUUUCAUAAUCUCCUUAUAUGCACUCUUAGUAUUACAAAUUCCAUUCUUAGAAUGCUUCCAAGUUCCAACAAAGCAAUUCAUUAUCAUUAUGAAUGAUCUGGACCUGCAAAAUUUUGUUCACAGCUUGAUUUUCAAAGAUUAAAUUAAGUUUCUCACCAUCCCAGGUUUUAUUAUCAGUCCACAGGUCAGCAACCAUGGUUGUGAAUAGGGUCAAGUUUAAUGAAAUCAUGAAUAUCAGAAUCUAGCUCACACCAUGGUUGGCUCCAAUGAAUGCUUCUCCGUGGCUGGCCAGCUGUAUGGGUGUUAGGGUGUAUGGCACGAACAAUACAAAUCAUAAAAAAAAAAAAGAGGAAACAAUAUUAAGUCCCAGUGGAUGCCCUUCCAGUGCGUCUGAAUUCAUCCGAUGAAACCGGUUUGCAGUGUGAUCCUCUUCUCUUUGCUCAUUCAUCGCUGCCUUCCGGCUUAAACUUAGUGUUUUUAGUUUGAUUUGACCCAACAAUAAACCAUGCUGAUGUGUCGAUUUUUCUAAUAUAUAGUUAAAUGGACGGAAACAGUCAAAAUCGACAUCUCUCCGGAAAUGAUUCUCCUUUGGUUGAGAAAAUUAAUCAUAUUUUUCACUUUUAUUAUUCAGUGCUGACAGCAAUAAGAUGCUACAAGAACAUAGAAAAAUCAAAUUAUAUAUAUAUAUAGAAUAAUAAUAAUAAUAAUAAUAAAGAAAAAUAGUAGCUCUUAUACGAAAAUGUCGGUUGGUCAUUGAGGAAUUUUCAUGAUUACCUGCAUUCGUUUGGAGAACAAAGGGAGUUUGUUUAUUUCGUUUUCCGCGUGCGUACUUCCCAAACUACUAAACGGUGCGUUUUUUGCAAACAUUUUCUAUAUGAAAUUUACUUUAAAAAAUCAUAUUAAUCCAUUUUUAAAGUUUAAAAUAGUUAAUACUUAAUUAAUCAUGCACUAAUGGCUUAUCUCGUUUUGCGUAUCUUCCCAAUUUUCUUAAUCCCCUCUCCCUCAAACACAGACAAAAUUUUAUGUAGAUCGUGCAUUCUACAACUUUUAUGUAGUUAAGUAGUUAGUACACACUAGAGCUCAACAUGUAAGAAUGUCAAAUCAUCAUUCCAUACUAUUUUCAUGAUAUUUCAACAUAUAUUUAUCCAUCAUGUGUAUAAUGUCUAACGUAAGUUCAUCUAUAUAUUUCACACUUGCAUCUAGUUUACAUGAGGUCAACAACCAGAACCUUGCGAUGAUUGACAUAUAUAGUAAUAAUUGUAUAAUGCUUCUUCUGAGAAUAACACUUAGUCUCUGCAAUUUUCGCUAAACUAUUUGUGGCAGCUGGCUUUAUUGGAUAUGCCUAUGCCAGUAGUUGGUUCCAGUAUUAAAUUGCUAUAAAAAUAGUAUAUUAGCAAAUAAUUACAUAUAUACUACCCGGUAGUCAACCCUUGUAUUCUUCACUACUAAAAAAACAUUUUUUCAUGCGAUCAAAAUAGGUUUUUCCAUGCGGAGGAAUUGCCUGUCUGCACUAGAAGUAUGGGAAAAUCAAUAUUUUCACGUGCGGGCAGCUCAACCGCAGGGGAAAAUCAUCUUCCAGUGCAGUCAGGUUAAGUGGACUGCAUGGGAUACCGCCCACACGUAAAAGAAAAACAAAAUAAAAAAAAUAAAAAAUCCUAACCCUAGAAUCGCCUGCCGCCGCUCCCGGCUGCCAUCAUCGCGCCGUCGCCGCACCCUGUUGCUGUCGUCGUGACGCCGCAGCGACCGUCGUCUACGCCCGAGACCACCACCGUCGCGCCGGCUGCCACCGCC